UGUAAAACAAAAUGAACGAAAAUAACAACGUAGUUACUCUCCUCGAGGCAAAUAAUAUUUCUCCAGAAGUAAUAGAAGUUUUUGUGUCAAAUGGCAUAACAACAGAGUUAUUCUACAAACUCAUUCCAGAGCACCUCAAGGAACUCUGCCCUCAUCUUGGGACCCGGAUAAAGCUAGCUGAAAUUAUCACAGCUCAUGCACCUACAGAGUCAUUUAAUGAGUGUUCAGAGUCAUUGAGUGAAACAGACUUUACAAAACCUACGUCCUCUAGCUGUUCUGAAUCUCAGGAAGUUACCACAACAAAUGUACUGAUUACAAGAUAUUUUCCAGACUUUGACUUACAUACCUUAUUACAAACAACAGUUGGAGGAAACAGUAUUUUGAAAUUUUAUGAAACUCA